rnacentral:rRNA from 1 species
GGUCUUGACAUGGUAGGAAUCUUGUAGAGAUACGAGAGUGCCUUCGGGAACCUACACACAGGUGCUGCACGGCUGUCGUCAGCUCGUGUCGUGAGAUGUUGGGUUAAGUCCCGCAACGAGCGCAACCCUUGUCCUUAGUUACCAUCAUUAAGUUGGGGACUCUAAGGAGACUGCCGGUGAUAAACCGGAGGAAGGUGGGGACGACGUCAAGUCAUCAUGGCCCUUAUGACCGGGGCUACACACGUACUACAAUGGUCGGUACAGACGGUCGCAAGCUCGCGAGAGUAAGCUAAUCCGAGAAAACCGAUCGUAGUCCGGAUCGCAGUCUGCAACUCGACUGCGUGAAGUCGGGAUCGCUAGUAAUCGCAAAUCAGAAUGUUGCGGUGAAUACGUUCCCGGGCCUU